GGAGGAAAGUAGGGGAUCGCAAGACCUUGCGCUAAAGGAGCGGCCGAUGUCUGAUUAGCUAGUUGGUGGGGUAAAGGCUUACCAAGGCAACGAUCAGUAGUUGGUCUGAGAGGACGGCCAACCACACUGGGACUGAGACACGGCCCAGACUCCUACGGGAGGCAGCAGUGGGGAAUUUUGGACAAUGGGCGAAAGCCUGAUCCAGCCAUGCCGCGUGAGUGAAGAAGGCCUUCGGGUUGUAAAGCUCUUUUAGUCGGAAAGAAAGAGUUGCAAUGAAUAAUUGUGAUUUAUGACGGUACCGACAGAAAAAGCACCGGCUAACUACGUGCCAGCAGCCGCGGUAAUACGUAGGGUGCGAGCGCUAAUCGGAAUUACUGGGCGUAAAGGGUGCGCAGGCGGUCUUGCAAGUCAGAUGUGAAAGCCCCGGGCUUAACCUGGGAAUUGCGUUUGAAACUACAAAGCUAG
rnacentral:rRNA from 1 species